AUGGCGUCCUCCCUCAGGGCAUUGCUUGUUGAGGAUACGGCAGUUCAACGCAUGGUUGUCUCCGCCAUGCUGCGCAAUCAGUUUCACUGCGAGAUGACUCUGGCGAAGAAUGGGAAAGAAGCUGUUGACAUGUUCCUCGAGGGCAACACGUUUGAUAUAGUUUUUUGUGAUAGGGACAUGCCCAUAAUGACCGGCCCGGAGGCAGUUGUGAAGAUCCGUGCUAUGGGAGCCACUGAUGUGAAGAUCGUGGGGCUGUCUGAUGAUGAUAAUGCCAUGGAGGCGUUCAUCAGCGCCGGCGCCGAUGAUUUCGUGCCCAAACCAGUGAGGCCUGAGACUCUGGGGCCUAUGAUUCAGGAGGUCAUCAAUAAGAAGCUAGAACAGUUAGCGACGCUUGCUUGA
rnacentral:rRNA from 1 species